rnacentral:lncRNA from 12 species
CGGUACCCCCAGUGCAGCUCCCUAAAAAGGGCGUCUCGGAGUACCCGCACCCCACCAGGCCCACCCCAAAAUCCGUCAAGGAUCGCAAACCCUUCCGGGAAUCUCGAAAGUUUCAAAGGGAUCCCCAAAUUAUCCCAAAGUCCCUUCAGGGAUCCCCAGAACAGGCUCCGCCGCACCCCCCACUAUGGCGUCCGCAACUCACCGCCCGCCCGCAGGGAGGCCCCACGUCCGUGUCUGCGCGUUGCACCAACCAAUCAGCGAUGGCAACCCACCCUGAAGGCGGAGCCUUUACUUUUAAUAGGAUCUAGCGGUUGUCUGUCAUUGUUUUAUUUCAUUCUCAUUUGUUCAAGGGCGACAUGGGAGGACUCUUUGACAAUUCGCCUUUCCAUUCGCCCAGUUCGCUGUCAUUCAUUAGGCCCCGCUUUCCUAUUGGCUGGAGCUGGUCGGAGGCGGGAGGUUCGCUCUGCGGCGGCUCUGGGGUCCCCGCCCAGCCUCCGUCCAUCCCCGAUCCCGAUCCCGAUCCCGAUCCCGAUCCCGGUUCCCGCGGCCAUGGAGCGGCAGCAGGAGCUGAAGGUGCUGCUGAAGCGCUGGGAAGCGGAAUUCCUGCGGGAACGGCGGCGGAAACCCAGCCAGUCAGUUUCUUCCUCGGGUCCCUCCUUUCUGUGGAUGACCAGCACCACGGGCUCCUGGUUCACCUCUCACCAGCGUCUAGGGAUCUCUGAGCUUCUUUUCACCCGGGGGACUCCUCCAGCUUCCAGCUGCUGACGUUAUCUUCUUUUCUUCAGGGAGGUCCUUGACUCUGAGACUUAACAGGUGUCUUCGUUCCUCACACGCAGCACCACUGUGGGGGCAGAGGUGCGGGGGCUUUGGACCACCUAAUUAGUGGUUUGUCAUCGGUCUUGUCUGUCUUCCCUCAGAGCCAGGAUUAACAGAAACAUGAUUGAAACAGUUUUUCUCGUGUUUGGGCUUGGAUGUUUAUUAUAUCUUAUCAGGAAGUACAGAGAGUAUGACAGCACUUCCAGCUCUUGCUAGAAGUAAGGAAAAAUGGCUACAGAUGGCAAGUGCUCCAAGGUCUUUUAAGGCUAAACAGUCCAAUAGAGAAUUAACACCUAUAUUAUCUCUACUUUUGACCCAAUAACUAGAUUCCCAUGAUCCUUAGAGUGACACUAACUAACCAACCAGAAACUACUACCUGAAAACUGUGAAGAAGGAAGAAGAAGAAAGAUGAACAAAGAAAGAGACACCACCCAAAAUCCUCCAUCUUGUACCAACCCUAUUUCCUGUACUAUACAAACCUCAGAUUUAAAACCCAUCACCCUGUGAAAGAACAGACUUCCAAUUCACUACACACUUGUGAUUUCUACUUCAUCACUUGUAUUUAGAAGCUGUCUUCAAGGCCCCAGGACAAAAGCAGUGUUUUCCAGUGGGUCUGUGCCACAAAGCCCAGAAAGCUCAAAAAGUCCAGAUUUCUGGGAUCCAACAUUUGGGGUUGUUAGGGGAUCCCUGGAAUAAGUAGGAUUGGUUUUGGGGGGUCCAGGGGUUUUGUUGGGGGUGUCCUUGGGGUGGUUUUGGAUUACCAGGGGGGUCUUUGGAGUGAUUUGGAGAUCCCUGCAAUGAGGGGCACUGGUUUGGGGGGCUACUGGGUGUAUUUGAGGUGUCCUUGGGGGUGGUUUUUACGAUUGUGGAGGAGUAUUUGGGGUGGUUUUGAGGUCUGAGAGGGUCCUUGGGUUGGUUUUGGGAGUCCCUGGGAUGGGGCAGGUUUGUUUUAGGGGGUCCUGGGGCUUUUUGGGGUGUCCCGCAGUGACCCGGAGCGGGCAGGCAGGGCCGUGGCGCGGCAGUUUUUGCGCGGCAGUUGGCGCAGGCAGGGCGAGCAGGCAGGGCUGCAGGUUUUCACACCAGUGAGGUUUGCUGUGCGUUGUUCGCUGUGUUUCUAUUGCCCACUUGGUUUUGGGGUUUUUGUUAGGAAUGGGUUUUACACCAUGGAAAACUGGGGCUGGUACAAGUGAGUGUAACCAAAUGGAGCCCUCGGAAAAGGAUGAGUCUGUGCAGAGCCAUUCCUGCCCGCAGUGUUUGAGCUGAUCAGUGGUUCCAGGGGUCUGUGGUGUGAACAGCUGAACGAUCUCCUUUCACUGGUGGCUGAGCUUAGGAAGCUGAAAGAAUAAGGAGUGUCAGGGAAAGUGAAAGGAAAAUAGAUUGAUGGAGUUCAGCCCUUCCAUUUUUGAGGGAGUGCUACCAAGAGGCAAGAGGACUCCAAAACUCCCAUUGUCAGGCAAUUGGAGGGCACCUGGGAGAUGAAGGAGAGUGCAAAUGGGUCCCUGCUCAGGAAGGUAGUAAUAAUAAUCAUCAUCAUCAUCAUCAUCAUCAUCAUCAUCACCAUCAUAACAAUAAUAAUAAUAGACCGAAGGCUCGAAAAUCUCACAAAAAUUCAAGGUGGUCCACGUAUCGUCGGACAGCUCACUGUGACAGCACAUAGUGUUCAAAAAGCCAUCAAAAGAAAACAUAGAGCAAAAAGAUUUGCCCAUCUUUAUAAAGAAAACUGGAAUAGCAAACACCCAAAAACACACCAAAACCCCCAGGACCCCCAAAACCAAAUCUCCCAUUACAGGUCCCCUGUAAACCUCCCUAAAGAUCCCCCAACACCCCAAAAACCACUCUGAAGGACAUCCCAAAAGCCUCAGGAUCCCCCUAAACCAAUACCCCUUAUUCCAGGGGCCUCCCAAACCACCCAAAAGACUCCUCCCAACUCCCCAAAAGUACUUGAAGUACACCCUCAACCACCGCAAGGAAACUCUAAAAAGCCGAAGGACCCCUCUAAACCAAUCCCCCUCAUGCCAGGGAUCCCCAAAACCAGCCCAGGUACACCCCAAAAAAUCCAGGACCUCUCUAAACUAACUGCCCCAAUUACAAAACCCUCCUAAACUACCCUAAGGACUCCCCCUCCAGAUCUCCAAAACCACCCCGAGGACCCCCAAACCAGCUCCCCCCUCCAGUUCCAGGGAUUCCCCUCAUGCAGCACCUUCAGCUCCUGCUGCCGCUCCAUCUCCGCGGGAACCGGGAUCGGGAUCGGGAAUCGGGAGUGAGGGAGGCUCAGCAGGGACACCAGAGCCGCCUCAGAGCGAAUCUCCCGCUCCUGCCCAAAGACAACCAAUAGGAAGGCAUCCCUUUGUGAUUGACAGCGAAUAAGCCAAUGAAAAGGCGCUGUCAAAGCGUCCGCCGAUGUCGGGCUUGAACAAAUUAUUAUUAAAUUAACAUUGACAGACAAGCGUCUCAGCCUAUUAAAAGUAAGGAGUUCGCCUCCUGGGUGGGUCUCGCGUGUUGAUUACUUGGAGGAAGCGCAGACACGGAAGUGGAGCUUCCGGAAAGCCGGGAAGUUGGGGCUGCGGGCGGGCGGUGAGUGGCGAGCGCCAUGCCGGGAGGGCGGCGGAGCUGGUUUUGGGGAUUCCUCAGAGGACUUUGGGAUAAUUUGGGGAUGCCUGUGGGAGUUUCAAGAUUCUCGGAGCGCCUUGGGAUCCUUCGGGGAUUGUGAAUGGCCCUGCGGGGGGG